UCGCGGCGGUGCGGGCCGAGAGAUCGGGACGCGGCCGCGCUCUGCGCCGGACAGCAGGAGCCGCGGCCGAAGCGCCCCGCCCCGCACGGCCGCGCCUCGCGGGGAGGCCGCACCUCGCGCUCGUGCGCGUUGAGCCCGCGGGCGGAGGCGCUGCGGGGCCUCUCCAGGGCCCGGCCGCCUCACGGAAGGAGCGUUUCCCGGCUGUCGGGCCGACUGUGCCGAGCUGCAGGACGGGGCCUUUGUCUCCCGUUAUAUUCGAGGAGGAGUUCUCUCUCCGUGCCCUCCGGGUGGUUGUUUAGACCGCCGUUAACUCAGCCCUCGGCCUCCCCUUCUCCAGACGAAAUGAAAUGACAUUCCUUCAUCCUUCCUGCCAGCCCCCGUGUCCCUGAGCCACCCCACCUGAAUGUGUGAUGCCAUUUCGUGACGGGACCGAGCAAGCGCUGAGGGCGGCCACCGGCGGCUCAGAAAUGGUCUCCUGAACCUCCUGACCUGAAGUCAUCCAAAGGUGCUCUCUUAAACGGUAGCAGACAACAUAUAAACAGGGAAUCGAAGGCACAGUCAGACAGGAUCCUUCUCUGUCUCUCUUAUUCCAGUGGCACUCAAGUCCUUCUCUGUAUUUCCCCUUCAUGUGACAAGACCCAGACCUGCUGCCUGGAUGGCGUCCAGCCCUUCACCCGCACCCCCGGCCUCAGCCCAGCUUCCUGUGUUUGCAUGGCAGCUGCAGAGCUCCUAGGCUCUGGCGCUCAAAAGCGGCAUUCUCUGACAAAGAUGCUGGCUGACGUGGCCAGGAGAUGCAUGUAGGAACACACAAAUGGACUUUAAGAAAUGCUAUUUUCAAUUGAAGUGCUAUUUUCAAUUCUUCAGUUCAACUUUGAUGAUGGAUUUUCUAAAACCUUCUGGAACUAAAGACAGGCAAUGGCUCAAUUUUCUCUUACCAAUUAGGAUUCCCAGGCCAAAGGAGCCAUGACACAGCUUGGUUUGCCACAGGCCUUGGGAACUCAGAGGUGUGCAGACGUACCUGAUGUACUGGCCUAACUGCAACAGUUGUUUAACACUGAGGUGAGUGUAAGGGGGGUCUGCAGAGAAAAGGAAAGUGAGAACAGUCAGGGCAGCCAGAGGGAGAUCCAGUCCUUGGGAAUCUCUGGGAUGGAGCAGGCUCUUGCACUGAUACUUGUGGCUGAUGGCCUGGAGGCUGGGGGCUGCAGAAACAGCCAAAAAAUGCACUCCAGUGUGGGAGAAGUGAUGUGGCAGUGGCUUUUCUGUGGCAGGCUCCCCUCUGCCUUGAGGAGUGUGAAACCCUUCAAGGCUGGGCUGCUGCUAAAUGCUUUGGGUAUGGUGUAUGCAUCUAACACACAAAGGCAUUUGAAAGGCACUGUGAGCCAAGGCCACAUGGACAAUGGUCAGAAUGACUGCCGUGCAAAAUUUGGAUACCAAGGCAUGGACCAAAUCAUCCGAUUGGGAAGUCUAGGAUUAAAGAGAAUGGCUAAACUUUAUAUUUUAUUUCCAUUCAUCAUUUCUGCUUAUGUGGGUGGACAAGGAGAGAAUGAGUUUCCUGGGGAGGGCAGCAGAUAAAAGAGGCACACAUUUCCUUGAAAGAUGUGUGUCUUUUUUCUUCUUUGCUCCUAGGUUAAUAUGCCAUAAAAGGGCUGGAGGUAAUCCUGAUAGCUUUUCUAUCAUGAGCAAGAAACUGGCUAGUUCUUCACUUUUGUAGGGUCUUUCUCCCUUUGAUUGCUAGCUAUGUGCCGAGAGAGAAGUAAGUCUUUCUACCAUGGAUUUCAUGACUGUCUCAGGAUGAGUAGGCUGAAUUCUUGCAAAGGAGAGCUUGAGGUGCGAAAAAAAUGGACACCAAUGGAUUUGGUGUUCAGGCAUGUUUCCAAGCCUCUGUAAAACAUCUGACUGUUAAAGGGGAGAAAGCUGUUCCCUUAAGGGGCUGGGGUGUGGGUGAGUGUCUCCAGAGCCUGCUGCCUUUUCACCAUCAGAGCUAUAGGGUAAAUAGAGGGGACUUGGACAGACCUUGUGCUGGGAGAAGGGUGGGGAGAAGGAGGGACAUGCUUGCAAUGCAUGCAUCUUCUGAGGCUUGCCUGAAGCAGGAAAGAGCUGAGCACAGCCCUGUGCAGGCCAACACCAGCUCACACAGAGAGGCGUGGAGUGGAAGAGCCUUCCAUGGUCUGUUCCUCAUUCCACCAAAAGCCCCCUGUCUUUGACAGGAUUUAUGCACAGUGGAUCUGCUGGAACAAUUAACAAUUAAUUUCAAUUAAUGUGUAAGAUGUUGAGGAUAUGCAAACCGCCUGCCUAUGCUGUUGGGGUCAACAUCUGGCAGAGGAUCUGCAGGGUUCCCUGAGACAGGGAAGGAUUUUGCCCUUGGGAUGCUGUGUUCUGUGGCAUCUGUCACUGAGCUGGGAUCUUUGUGCCAGAAGCUCCUUUUGCAGAGUGGGACAGAGCCCAGGGCAGUGCUUUGCUCUGCAGACAUCCCUGAGAAGUAGCAGGGUUUGGGAUGUGGCAGGAGAGGUGGAACCUGUGCUGAGCUCAGAUGUUCCCUCUGUCUUUUAGGGUAGCAAACAUGAUGGGGGUUUUGCAGCAGCAAGGUAGGGGACAGAUGGGCUUUGAUGAAAUUAAAGCAGCUGGGAGGAUGAAACAGUUGUGUUCUGAAACUGUGGCUCUUCAUGGGGGAUCCCAGUUUGUGCCUGAAUGAAGAACAAACGGAUUUUUCUGGCUGACAAAGGGAAAAUAGGAAAGAUGAAGGAAAAAAAAAAACCCCACAAAAAAAACAAAACAGAAAAGAAUGGGUCUGGAUGAGUCAGAGACACAAACUUUAAAGAGCAGUUGCACUGAGGUGGAGCAGAAAAGUCUGGGCGCUGGUUGAUGACAGACACAGAACCUCUUUACUGAAAGAGGCAGUGGAUUUUGCAGUAGAGAGAGGCAGAUGGCAAGUAUUUUUAUGUAAGCCACAAUUUUGACCAUAAGCAGAAUGAAAAUCUGAAAGAAAUGUGCCAGCCUUAAGACUAAGCAGAGAUGAUGACAGCUAACAACCGUGGUGAUGAAGCUGGAGAAAUCUGCCUCUGAGACAAAAUGAGGAGCCGAAGAGGGCACCAAGAUGUGAUAGCUGGUGAUGCAGACAGAGAAAAACAGGGAUGGGAGUAUUAUUCAGGCUUCAUCCUGUCAGAACCACAGUUGAGAUUGUGUUGGUGCCUACACCCAAGGCCUUGCCUUAUUCAUGUCAUAAGUCAAAAUGCCUGAGGAUUUCUAGAAGAGCAUGAUUUUCCAGAAGAAGCGAGGAAAGAAUUUAAUCCUAAAUUGUUUCUCAAAUGAUAACAGAAUGGCAAGCAUCUCUGGAGAUGGUGGCUGGUCGUCUUCACAACAACCAGGAAAAAUACUACUGAAAGGAUGCAUGUGCAGUGCCUUUUCAUAAAGCCGUAUGUCCCAGUCUCCAAAAUGCCCCAGAUGCAGAAAAACCUCACUUUUAAAAACUGCCCCAUAGGCCUCACAGGUCUCUUGUGCUGAACUUCCUUCAUCUGUAGAACCACUGUGGUCCCAUUGGGAUUACAGCCAGUGAAGAAGAAAGAGACGGGGAUCAAAUGCCUGGGCAUUCAACCAUCUCUUCCAUGAGGUGCAGGGCAGAGUGGGGUCUGGAUCAAACAAUUGCAUCUGGUAUUUCCUACUCCCACAGGCAGGGGCCGUGCUGCUGUCUGGACAAAGCAUUACGGUAUGGGGCAUUUCCACAGAGAUGUGUGUCAAAAGCAGAGAGAAGCCAGGUGACCUCCUGAAGCAUCCUGUCCUCUCUGCCAUGAGAAGCACUUCUGCCCUUCUCUCCCUCCACCUGUGUUCUUCUCCAGGCAUGCAGAGCCAUCCACUGGCCAUGUCCUAGUCGGUGCCUCCCUGGCCCUCCAGCUUUGUGCUGUCCGUGUGUCCAAAAUGCACACAAGGAAUGCUCCCUGAACCCUGCUGCGCCCUGUGCCUGAGUGCAGCAUCCCCACUCUCUUUCCAUUUUUUCCCUAAUGAUUCUGGCUGCAUUAUGUGAUAUGGAGAGCAAACCCUGAUCCUACCAUCUGCUCUCCCGCUCUGCCUGCUGGCUCCAAGGCCUGCCUCACCACUUUGGGGGUUUACCUGAGGUGGUGAAGCUCUGGGGUGGGGCUGUCCCUUUCCCUUGGUCACCACUGCGGUGUGGGCAUGGCUGUGUGUCCUUGCACAGGGCUGAACGCUGCCUCUGAGCCACCUCCAGUGAGGUGGCACCAUGGCGGCUCUUGCUCAGCGCAGAAUCCAGUGUGACAACAAAUAUGAAAUCCUCUGCAGCUAAUUAAUUAUCUCAGAUCCCUUCCAUAUUACAGGGGGUGGGCAGCAAGGCUUUGGGAGUGCAGAUACUUUAGGAUCAGCUUUGAAAAUAAACCCGAAUAAGCCACUUUUUUGGAGAUUAAACUGACUCCUCCUGGAAACCACUGCAGGGGAAGAGCACUUGUUUAUUAAAAAGAGACAGAAAGGAUCAGGGCAUGAAAGGAGGCUUUGUCUCCUCGGCCAUUACCUUACUCCAUUUGACGGUACUUUAAUGCUUUUUUCUUCAGGUGUGCAGGGAACCUCAGACACAAAACUGCCACCUUCAAAAGCAUCAGGCACGGAGGGUUCUGCGCAUCAGGGAAGCCCAUACCACCUGCAGCAGCCCCCAAAUGAGUGCAUCUUUGUCGGCACCGGGCCGGGGGGCUGCGAAUACCUAGGGGUUCGGGAGGAGUUCGCUCCAUGUCUGAUCGGGCUGAGUCCCCGGGGACCCCCCCGGCUCUGCAGGAGCACGGGAAGGCCAGAGAGGAGGGAUCCCCUCUGCUGCACAGGGCAUCCCCGGGGGACUCUCCGGCAUCUCCUCCGUCAAGGGCAGGGAAUCGAGGUGGGGUCCCGCUGUCCGGCGCCCCCGAGAUGCGGUGCUAACCGGCGAGCGGGGACCGGCCGUGAGCGCAUCCCUGCGGGGGCUGCAGACUGCGGGAGCAGCCGGGGCGGGGGAACUGCAGGGGCAUCCCGGGGAGGGGAGGAGUAGGGGGAAGCCGUAAGAA